rnacentral:lncRNA from 12 species
AAAUUAACUCUCCACUGAGGAUAUGGACCACUUGGAUCACUAAUGAGAUGAAGGAAGAAGAGCCCAUUGGUGGAAAAAAAGUCAGAGGAUGAAGGAAUUGAAAAGGAAAACUUAGCAAUACUAGAGAAAGUUUGGAAGACUCAAAGGCAAGACCAUUUCAGUAGCUGCAUCCAGGAGAUCUUGGAGGAGAUGGUCUGUGGCUUCAACUAUUCCAACUCCCUAGACAAUUAUCAGGUGCACCAGAGAAACAAGGAUCAGUGCUGCUCUGAGUGUUUCCACAGGAGUGUCGCACCAGCCCAACCGCAGAGACCUCUGAACCUCCACGCCUAUCCUCCAGCUACGUAUGAUGUGGGAAGACACUCUUCACCUGUAUUGGAUAAGUGCAGAAUAUAUUUCAUGUUUUUUAGGAGUUGGUGGGGGGGGGUCACAAAGCCAUGAGUAUCUUUGCGUUUUACUUCUGUUUUUAUUAUUUCACGUACUCCUCCCAGCUAUCCUGUGUAGAAGCCAGCUCCACUGUCCCUGCAGACCUUCUCCGAGCCUUUCCAAAUCAUCACACUAAGAGGGUGAUUUAACACAAAAGGGUGUGAUGAAGCCAUUUUAUAUGUUUUCAUAUAGAAUGUUUAUAUAGUUUCUCUCAAUAGAUUCUAUAUGUUUCUCUAUAACAUGUCGUCUCUCAGAACACAUCAAAUCAUUGUAGGCCCAACAGGACAUGAGCUGUAUCCCUAUAGAUCUUUGUAGUAGUCCAUAAAUGAGGCGGUCUGCCACACGGAUUCAGAUUUUCGAGACCCUUGGCACGUGACCUGAUGCCAUUCUCUUGCCAUUUCUGCAGUGCUGCAAGGAACACCGUAUGUGUCCCCACAGACUGUUUUGGUUGCUAGAUCUGCCAUAACCUGGAACCCCAGAUUAGGGGGAAGGCCUCUGAUGCCUCCUGGCACCAGUAGCUGGCUCUUUUUGUAAUGACCCACCCAGGAGAUCUUGGAUGAGUUGCUCCAAGAGUUGAACUCCUCCAACUCCUCUGACAAGCACAGGGGCAUCAGGCCACCAACUACUUCCAUUGAAGGUCUGCGGUAAGAACAGGUCCACAUUCAUGGUCAAACUCAAGACACAGAGAUGAUCAGGGCAAGACCAGAACACAGACUAGAAACAACUGAUGCCCUUGGGCCUUGCAGGAGAAGGUAGUUUUCCCCUGACCCUUCCUCCCUAUGUCAGGAACAGACCAAGCCACAUCAGCUUAAGGGAAACCCCAUGCAGCUCACGCUCUGGUCUCUUCUCAGCUGCAAUGUAUGUGAUCUUAAGCAGCAUGUGAGGGUCUAGCCCUCUGUGUUCUGUGUGAGGCCAAAACUGAAGACUUAAUGGCAUACUGGUCUUCAUAAAACUAUUAGUUGAGAGGAAUGCUGUUGUUGCUCAGCUAACAGAAUGUGUUGAAGUUUGCCAUGUCUUCCCUAAAACCAAUGAUACUUUGAAGCCUCAAACCUUUUUCUGUGUGGGCACUCAAGUCCCUUGUCCUGUAGAACUUCCCAAGGGGAUGGGAGUCUCUGGUCUGAGAGCCAGACCCUGAUCUUCACAGUGGUUCUUGGUUUGGAAGCUGACUACAGUGCUCCUCCUUGUGUCUCUGGUGUGAAAAGGAAUCAACCUUAUUCCUGGGUGAGGCCAGGACCAUGCUGAUGCUCAAAGAAGGGAGAAUGGAUAAUUUUGUACAGUCCUUGGUACCAUCCUUCCAGGAUAGAAGCCUCGCAAACAACCCAGUCAUUUCCUGUAUCUACCAGGUGUUCACCACAGCCCAACAGGUCCUGGGCCAGCAAUUCCCCAAGUGAGUGACCACCCCAUAUGCAGCAUGGGGGAGGGGGGAGGCUCGCCUCUACUGCCAGUAUGUUUUGGGAAUGUCACUGCACCUCUCUGAGCUUCCUUUUGCUCCUCUGAAAAGUGCUGUGGUAAGAGGAUGAACCUCAUCGGGCUACUGUGGAAAUCCUGAGAGAAAACAAGGCAUAGACUUAUCUGGUGCCUGGCUCUGUAGAAAGGGCUGCUGGGCAUCUUCAUGUGUAGCAGUUUUCUCUCCACAGCUAAGAAGGUCUCCACAUCAACCCCUGUGGGCCUGUGGCACUUCUGGUUUUACAGAAGCACAUGCAAAGCAGGCAGUUUUCCUGUAUGCAAAGGACUUCUGAGAUUCCAUCUAACUGGUCCUGAUACUCUGUCCACAUAAGUAAGAGGUCCUGAUACUCUGUCCUCAUAAGAGUAGAGGUCACUGGGGGAAGGCAGAGCAGCUCAAGUUCCACUCAGUAUACAGAAAGUGCUGGUUGGGAUUCCUUCUCCAAUAAUAUAUAUUGAGCACCUCGUGUUGCAGACACAUUUCUAUUCACUGAGAUAAUUGAAGGAAUAAAGAAGGUACAGUGUCUCGGUCCCA